CCUACGUUGUUCCUCCUUGGGGCAUCUUGCACAAUGGGCGCAAGCCUGAUGCAGCCAUGCCGCGUGUGUGAAGAAGGCCUUCGGGUUGUAAAGCACUUUCAGCGGGGAGGAAGGCGCUAAGGUUAAUAACCUUAGCGAUUGACGUUACCCGCAGAAGAAGCACCGGCUAACUCCGUGCCAGCAGCCGCGGUAAUACGUAGGGUGCAAGCGUUAAUCGGAAUUACUGGGCGUAAAGCGCAAGCAGGCGGUCUGUCAAGUCGGAUGUGAAAUCCCCGGGCUCAACCUGGGAACUGCAUUCGAAACUGGAAGGCUAGAGUCUUGUAGAGGGGGGUAGAAUUCCAGGUGUAGCGGUGAAAUGCGUAGAGAUCUGGAGGAAUACCGGUGGCGAAGGCGGCCCCCUGGACAAAGACUGACGCUCAGGUGCGAAAGCGUGGGGAGCAAACAGGAUUAGAUACCCGGGUAGUC
rnacentral:rRNA from 1 species